rnacentral:rRNA from 1 species
CCUUAGGGUGGGGGACAACAGUUGGAAACGACUGCUAAUACCGCAUAACGUCUACGGACCAAAGGGGGCUUCGGCUCUCGCCCUUAGAUUAGCCCAAGUGGGAUUAGCUAGUUGGUGAGGUAAUGGCUCACCAAGGCGACGAUCCCUAGCUGGUUUGAGAGGAUGAUCAGCCACACUGGAACUGAGACACGGUCCAGACUCCUACGGGAGGCAGCAGUGGGGAAUAUUGCACAAUGGGCGCAAGCCUGAUGCAGCCAUGCCGCGUGUGUGAAGAAGGCCUUAGGGUUGUAAAGCACUUUCAGUAAGGAGGAAAGGUUAGUAGUUAAUACCUGCUAGCUGUGACGUUACUUACAGAAGAAGCACCGGCUAACUCCGUGCCAGCAGCCGCGGUAAUACGGAGGGUGCGAGCGUUAAUCGGAAUUACUGGGCGUAAAGCGUACGCAGGCGGUUUGUUAAGCGAGAUGUGAAAGCCCCGGGCUCAACCUGGGAACUGCAUUUCGAACUGGCAAACUAGAGUAUGAUAGAGGGUGGUAGAAUUUCAGGUGUAGCGGUGAAAUGCGUAGAGAUCUGAAGGAAUACCGAUGGCGAAGGCAGCCACCUGGGUCAAUACUGACGCUCAUGUACGAAAGCGUGGGGAGCAAACGGGAUUAGAUACCCCGGUAGUCCACGCCGUAAACGAUGUCUACUAGGAGCUGGGGUCUUCGGACAACUUUUCCAAAGCUAACGCAUUAAGUAGACCGCCUGGGGAGUACGGCCGCAAGGUUAAAACUCAAAUGAAUUGACGGGGGCCCGCACAAGCGGUGGAGCAUGUGGUUUAAUUCGAUGCAACG